CCGGGAGCUCCUCUCUCCUCUCGUGAGAGAUCUGCCUGGAUUAGUCCAGCGACAGCCAGCGUAUGUUCAGGCGAGAAGCGGCGCUUGAUGCUUCCGGCAAGGCCGAGUAGAGCAACAGAGCAGCAGGAGGCACCUCUGCGAGGGUUUUUGCUCGCCGCUUCUGCACGACCUUUCUCCAUAGCCACCGCGAGGAAGAAGGUCUACAGUAUGAGAGAGAUGGAUGACACUGCUGCUGGCUAGAAACAUAGAGCUCCAGGACUCAGCGAGAGAAGAAAAUAGAAGUCGGACAUGUAACAGAGGCUAUCAAACCCUCCGAAUAGGGUGUUGGGAGUUUUCACCGUUAAAGGAACAGCGAGGCCGGCAACCCAUUUGGAGUUUCGAGCGGCGAUCUCUGAUGCUUCUACAAAAGAAAAGGAAUGGAUGACAAGAACAGCAGCUAACACGGUCGACCUGUGCGCCGUCUCCUGAAAAGAAAAAGAUUUGCAGCCUGAAGUCUAUCAAUAAUGACAGAGGACAACCGGUAGAGGGAGGCAGAGACAAAGACGACCAUGUGCCACCGGCUACUGCCACCGUCUCCACAGUCCACAGUCCAUAACCAUCCAGUCUGCCACCGCCAAUGUCUCCGCUCUACCACGGGGCCACCAUCGCCCUUUCUUCGCUCCACCGCUGGUCCACUAUUGCCCUUUUGAAGAUGGGUGUGGCAUCUUUGUCUAAGAUCUUGUGCAGAGACUUAAUGUUCAUGUCAAACUUAAACUAUGUUGGAAAGUAUUUGUCAUUAUGAAAGUUUAUCAUCUUUUAAAAAUGGAAUGUUGAUGAUAGUUUAACUGUUGAUGGCGAGAAAUAUUACUACUUUUAUUUGCUUGGAGAUUA